GCGGCCUUCGGGACAGAGGAGACAGGUGGUGCAUGGUUGUCGUCAGCUCGUGUCGUGAGAUGUUGGGUUAAGUCCCGCAACGAGCGCAACCCUUAACUUUAGUUGCCAGCAGGUAAUGCUGGGCACUCUAGAGUGACUGCCGGUGACAAACCGGAGGAAGGUGGGGAUGACGUCAAAUCAUCAUGCCCCUUAUGACCUGGGCUACACACGUACUACAAUGGCCGGUACAACGGGAAGCGAAGCCGCGAGGUGGAGCCAAUCCCAUCAAAGCCGGUCUCAGUUCGGAUUGCAGGCUGCAACUCGCCUGCAUGAAGUCGGAAUUGCUAGUAAUCGCGGAUCAGCAUGCCGCGGUGAAUACGUUCCCGGGUCUUGUACACACCGCCCGUCACACCACGAGAGUUUACAACACCCGAAGUCGGUGGGGUAACCCGCAAGGGAGCCAGCCGCCGAAGGUGGGGUAGAUGAUUGGGGUGAAGUCGUAACAAGGUAGCCGUAUCGGAAGGUGCGGCUGGAUCACCUCCUUUCUAUGGAGA
rnacentral:rRNA from 1 species